UUAAGUAAAUAUUAAUUGUACAUUUGCACCAAUUUUUACAUGGCAUUUUCACACUAAGAAUGCCACGUGCAAAAUUAUAUACAGGAACAAUUCUGAACAAAUAUAUGCAAGUGAGUUGUAAAUUUGAUAUGUAAUGCAUACAUUACAAAAACCCAUGACAGUGUUCACUAAAAUGAAAUGUAUGGACUCUUAUAUAAAUACUUGGUAUAUGUGAUAUGGAUAUUAUGGAUGAUAUUUUUGAGAAUGACACAAGUAAUGAAAUUUUUCAGCAUUGAAUUGGAUUCUUGAACCAGAGCCAUGUGAACCUGGUCCACCUGUACCUCUCAUUGAAGACCUGUUAACAUCACCAGAGUAUGUUCAUUCUGAUACCCCUAUGGUAUGGUUACAGCAUGCAUUAUCCCUGAAUCCAUUAAAAGAGCUGCAUUGGCAAUGAAACAACCCAAUGUGGUCGAUUGUAAGGAAACAUAGCAUAUCAGCUUCCAACUUUGGUGCAGUUCUCAGUUCUAAGCAAAGGCGAUUGACAUUGUCACUGAAGAAACAGCUGAUGUCGGCUUACAAUCUGGAGUCCAUCAAGGCUGUUGCAUGGGGUAUCACUCAUGAAGAUGAUGCUUUGAGAAAGUAUGAAAAGGACUUUGAUGCAGCUGUAGAGCGGUCAGGAUAUGGUUGCAUGAAUCCGUAGUGUUGGGAGCUUCACCUGAUGGCUUAGUUGUUCGACCACCAACAUGCAGUGUAUUUUAUCAAACUCCAGAAGCCAAAGACGCCAUUCCUGAUAUUGUAGAGGUGAAGUGUCCAUAUACAGCAUCGUCUUCAACAGUAGCAGAUGGGGCACAAAAUUUGAAGGAUUUUUCAUAGAUCUUAAACAAGAUACCCUGUGCCUGAAAACCAGUCACCCG